UCCAAUUAUAAUAUUUCACAAUUAUUAUUUUUUUUUUGCUAAAUUUGAUUUUUAUAAAAUAAGCAAAAAAUAUAUUACAAUAAAGAUCGAAAACAUAACCCUUUUAUAUUACAAUGAACAUAAAAGGGAAGCAAUUGCCUAACCUAAUAUAAAUUCCUCACAGCCCGAGGCUAGGCAAUAUAAAACCAAACAUAAGUUAUCAGCCCAAUAGGCCCACAUUAAAAAAACAUUAACAACAUCCCCACGAGAGGACCAGCCGACUAUGGGCCCAUUUACCAGCAAAAUUAGCAGCCAAAUUGAUCAAGCCAACUGAGGACCAAAAAAUCUGCAAUUCAAAAAUAGCACAGAUCCACCAUGAACCAUCGGAACAUAGCUGCAAUGACCACCAUGAAAUCCGACAAGAAACACAGAGUAGCACAGAUCCACCCUAAACACCGGUACUCACAUCCAGACCAAUGAGGAGAUAUCAGAUAAUUACACACCCAGACACCCCCGCCACGAGCAGUGGCUGGCUGGGCCGGCUGGCUGCCCCCCCUCCUACUUCCGUCUGGACCGCCGCUCUACCGGGGUUAGAUGACCCCCCUAGUUCCGCCUCUGCUCACACGUAUAAUUGAAGAAAUAUACGUAUACUUUUUCCAAAUCAUUUUUUUCAUUCAAUUCUCUAACUAACACACUCCUUAAUUUCUCCUUGAUAUAUCGAUCUCCCUUUCUCUUUCAGCUAUAUUUUGGCUUCACUUUACUAUAGUACAAGUCCAAAUGCAUUGGAUACAAUAAGAACUGCCUGUGUUAUAAAUGUGAUAAGAGAUUUCACAUGAGCCUUAGGAAUACCUAGUAUUGCCCUAGCUGGAUGAAGAGAUACUUCUGUGUUAUAAAUGUGAUAAGGGAUUUCACAUGCUAUGUGUCCGACCCAUCGUGGUUUAGUCCUUUUACAAUAGGAAGGAAGAAUAUAUUCUUGUGCAUUUAUUCUUUUAUCAGUUAUUGAAAUUAAAAACUUUAUGAUUCCUGUCUGUAAUUCUGUAUGAAUGCACUAUAAAUUAUAUAAUGUAGAUAAUGCAUCAGUUUUUCGAUGUCAUUAGCACCUCCAAAUGCACUAUAAUCUUAGUAACAUUUUCAUGUAUGCAAGUAAAAGUGAGUAAUAGUAUAAUAGUAGAAGAAAUAAUAAUUAUUUACGUCAAAGGAAGCACUUAAAAGAAGUAAAAAAAGUAACAUUUUCAUUUAUGCAGGUAGUAGUUCAACACAUUCAUACCUUCUUACUUAAUCUUUUAUUUUCUCAUAGGAUACUCACAGGUAAAAUUACUAAAAAGUGAUAAAAGGGGGAGGGUUAAAUGUAUAUCAAAUCUUGUUUACUAUUCUCAUUACUAGUGCAUUUGAUUAUAUAACUGAGCAAACGCGUUGAGCGUGAUGGUAGUAAAACAAAACUUUUUGAAACGAGAAAUAUAUUUACUUUCUCGCAGUACUCCAUUUGAAUUAUGAUAAUUUCUAGGGAAAGAAAUACAACUCUCUAGGCUUAUUUUCCGAUAAUAAGAAAUCAUGAGAAGUUUACUAAAGCUUGAUCAUGAGGAGAGGAAGAAGAGGGUAAAAAAAUUAUGGCAGUAAUACUUGUUAUAUCUAAUCACAUCAUUGAAUUCAACAAUUAAGACUAAGCUUGAACAAGAUUUAUAAAUGCAGACACUCGGUGAUAUAAUACUCUUUUUAAAGAAGCAAAAUAAGUUAAAAAUUGAUCAGCAACUCCAAAAAGCAUAUAAUUUUACUUGGCUUCACAAUGAUUUUACCAAGUGAAUCCCAAAUUUUUAGAAAAUUUUUAGACACUCCUAAACUUGAAAGACAGAUAGUAAUAUCUUAUCUCAUUAUACAAUUUCAACAUUGAAACUAAAACAUCUAUUGGAGCAAGAUCUUCACAUAUUUAAGAUAUAUUCACAUUACUUAAUGCUAAUGUAUUGAUGUUCAUGUGCCUAAUGGAUUAGUUUUAAAAAGUUUUUCCGUCAGAAGGUGUUAUAGUCUAGUAUAAAAACCCAAAUUAUCAUUUCUAUUUUUCUUAAUUGGCUAGCACUUGGUUCGUCAUUUGAUAAUGUUAUAUCCUCUACACCAUCUUGAUAAUAAUUAAUUUUAAUUAGAAAACAAGAAACAAAAUCAACACGACAAAGAAUAUCUUGGUUUAAAUUAAUUUUAAUUAAAAAAUCGAAUGCAAGAGAAUCCAAUAGAAUUUUUUAAAAAUGUGGAGUGAUUAACAUAAAGGAGAAGGGAUUAAUGCAAUAGAAGACUAUCAUUUGUUUAGAUGUACAAAAAUUCUUGCAGUAAUUCAGCCAUCUCUAAAAAUUGAGAUCGAAUAAUUAUACAAGACUAUCUAAUGUGGAUAUGAAAUUAAUUUAAAUAUAAUUAAUUUAAUUAUACAAGACCAUCAUUUGUUUGAUUUAUGAGCAAAAGUAGAAUUCAGAAAUUUACCUGAUAAUCAAAGAGAUUAGCAUCUGAGGAGAUCUGAGUGAAUGAAUGCCAGCGGCCGUGAGGAAUGAGGUAGUGAGAUCUAAUGGUAUGCUUUUAUACUGAUCAAAUUAGGAUUUUUGUGCUUUUAUACCGAUGAAAUGAAAUUACAGCGCAUUUAGUAUCCACUUAAUUACUGGACUAAAUAUGAUUAACCAAUGAAAAAUCUUUUUAGCUUCUAAAUGGGUCACUUAAAGGAGGUUUUGUAUUUGGAGC
rnacentral:lncRNA from 1 species